UACGUAGGGUGCAAGCGUUAAUCGGAAUUACUGGGCGUAAAGCGUGCGCAGGCGGUGAUGUAAGACAGUUGUGAAAUCCCCGGGCUCAACCUGGGAACUGCAUCUGUGACUGCAUCGCUGGAGUGCGGCAGAGGGGGAUGGAAUUCCGCGUGUAGCAGUGAAAUGCGUAGAUAUCAGGAGGAAUACCGAUGGCGAAGGCAGGUCUCUGGGCUAACACUGACGCUCAUGCACGAAAGCGUGGGGAGCAAACAGG
rnacentral:rRNA from 1 species